GGCCGGCUCCCAUCCGCCGCGGGCCUCUUUCUCAUGGUAAUGAGGCCCCGGGCGCCCUCCCUUCCGCCCACCCUCCACGCCCUCCCCUGCGCUCGCGCCCCCGCGCCUUGUCGGGGCCGCCUUCUCGGCGGAGCAGACAAAGCCCGCGGCCGCGACGGGCCGGGAAGGGUGCCGGACCGAGGGGGGGCCCGGGCCAAGGAUGGGGUCCCUCACCCCCGAGGAGCGAGCUGCGGCCCACCACACCCCCUCCCGGCUCCCAGUGUCGGGAGUCCCAGCGACGCCGGCUGGGAGGAGCCUGAAUUGGAGGAAGUGUGGUACCAGGGACCAUGGGACUCUGCUGGGGAAAGUUCCUACUGUGGACCAGCCCAGGAAAGUUGCAGAGGUGUCCGUGCCCCCCCCCCCGCCGGUGUCCAGGCACGCCCAUGGGCUUCUGCGUGGUGACCGCCCUCGACCUGUGUGCCGACCUCCAGCUGCGCCCCACCCUCCACACUGCUCGGGGCUCCCUGCUUUCAGCUCUGACUUUGGGCCUGCUGGUAUCUCCGAAGGAUUCUCACCCGCCUCCUUGGGUGCUCCUUUUGGGCCUCUUUGCCUGCCUCUCCUCUGCACACCACAGCCAGCGGUUUCCAGCCCUGGAGCUUGCUUCCUUCUCUCC
rnacentral:lncRNA from 1 species